CUAAGAAUCAACACAGCUCGAUUCUCGGAAUUUGAGCUGCCGACUCUACCACUGCGCCCAGCCCAGGGGAGGCCACCGGCCACCCCGCUACCUCCCCGCUCGCUCCUCCCCAAGCCGCCCUGCCCGCCCCCUGCCGCCCGCCGCCGGGAGCCCCGGGGAGCCUUCCCGGCCGGGCCCCCCACCGGCCGCGGCGCCACGAGCGGGGGCUUGCAGCCGGGCCGGGGGGCUCCCCCCGCGGCCAGUGGUAGGCGCCGGGCUCCGGCGUCACGUGGCCGCCUGCCUUCUGUGACGUCGGGGCGGCUUCAAUGUUGCAGAGUUCGGCCCCUGGAAUUCUGAGAACUAAUUUGCUAUUCGGUGACAUAAGAGAGAUCCGGGGCUGAGGCCACCCCGUUCUCGGUCGUGAAAGCCCCACAAACACCGCCGGCCUCCUCGCAACACACCAGAUCCCCCCCCACCCCCCAGCAAAAGGCUUUGCAAUGUAGGGACCUAGGAAAGGGGGGGGGGAGGUUUUCAUAACGCAGGAGGAGAGGGGGGAAAAACCCGAAUAAAAAAUGCAGGAGGAGGAGGCAGACAGAGUCUCAGGCAGUCAGGAGGGAGGCGAGGCACAGGAUUGUUUAACGUUAUUUUUGCAUCUGCUUGAGCAAGUUUCGCCUUUAAAAAGAUACCGGGACCCUGCUACCUUGGACUCUUUUAAAAAAAUAAUGAUCCGUCUUUUAUAGAGAGAUAGAUUUGUAUUCUGUCCGCCGCUUUUUGCCUCUCAUGAUCGUACAAGGGAUUUACUUUUGAUGAAAGAAGCUUAUUUUUUCCCCCCAUUCAGAUCUAUUUUUUAAUGAUGUUUUUGGCAUGGCUUUUUCAAUGUGAGGAAUAUCCUUGCUUUUGCAAAGAAAUAUACUCAAAGGAUUCUGUUUUCGUUUGGUCCUUCCCCCCCCCCUUCCCUUUCCAGGACUCUGAAGUGGUGGGUUGAUUCUUCGCAGUUGUUGUCAUUGUUGCUGAUUCUUUCGAAAUAGAUUGUAAACAGUGUGUCCAUAGAUCGCUGCCUCUGUGUUGUAAAUGUCUAGCCUCGGUCGUGUGCACUUGUUUUGAUUAUUUUUGUUGUUUAAAGUGGCUGUAGACUGUUUGUGUCAGGAGGGACCUGUGAAGGCCUGCUUUUGCCAUUGGGGGAGACUUCAGCCAGCCGUGAAAACGUAAAGACCUUCCGAAUCGAUGUUACUGCCUCCCAUCUAUUCCCCCAGAUCCUGAGAGUCGAGUAAAGUGACUUCUGCCAGAGAAUGUGCCACUUGGGCUUCCAAACUUCUCUGAGAAGCUGCUGCCUCUUGCAAGACACCAAGGCUGGAUCAACAAGUUAACCUUCAAAAAGAUUACAAAGGAGCUGACCAUAUUUACCAUCACGGCCCGACCCCAAGAGUAAAAGGUGAGGAGUAAGAAACCGCAACGCUGACAGUUUUUCAACCUUCGUGAGAACGAACCUAAUCCUUCAUGUUAUUUAAUGCGUGGGGCUUGUUGGGGCAAUUUGUGAGGGGAGGCAAAGUGAGUACAUAACUUGGUGGAGAACUGAAUACAGUAUAAGUGUUUGCAGCUCAACUUGCCUAAACAGAGUUGUCAAACAGGCUGGCAGGGCACCCGCCUGGGAUCCUGCACUAGGGUUUACACAGCAAAGCUAAUGGCAAAUGCAACAAAUACUGUGGAGGAGGGAAGGGCUGGGCUUCAAAGAAUCCAGGUGGGAGUACAGGAGCUAGAUAAGUGGUGCACUAGGGUUUCUUGGGGCUCCUAAUUUGUUUCCCAGGCUCCUAAUUCCACUGGGACAGCAGCCGCAUUCCUCCCUAUGUGUUUACGGAGAUUGUGGGUUUUUGUUUUUUCCCCCCCGGCUCAGAAGCAGUCCAGGCAGCGCACACACGGAGUACAUACCAUACAGCUGAGGCGGGGCGCAACACAAAUAUGCCUUUUCAGAAUAGCUUUUACACCUGGAAGAGGAGACUGGUUUAUUACCUUGGUAAACAAAAGUUCGGAUUCAAGCAAAAGUACAAACUUUGCCCCGGGCUGUUCUGACUGCGUACCUUGUGUUUGUGAACUCCGCAACUCCGAGACAACGUGAGGCAAUGGAGCUACUUCCAACGCCCCCCUCUUCCUUUGUCAGAGUCCCAGAAUUUAAAAGUUCCUGUUUGGGGGGUGGGGGUGGGGAGAAGAGGUGCGGAGGGUGUUAUAUGAUGUAAUCCACCCCAGCUCUGGCUUGUUUGAAACAGCAUUCAAAAGGAUUCCCUUUAGUGGGCAGAAACACGUGUGGUCAGUUCUCUUUCUGCACUGGGGGUUUGUUUUUGUUUUUUUAAUAGGAAGAAUAGAAUAUAUGUCACGGGAUGUGUGAGUUAGCAGCAGGGAUGGGGCCAGGUCAUGCUUCUGCCAGCCAGGUAUAUUAGUGGGGAGAGAGGGGUGCAGAUUCCUCCCUGACCAUAGGUGCUGGAAGCAGAGGUGUAGCCGCACCCCCGUCACAGCAGCUACACAGAAUUCCAGCCUCAUGCUUAAGAGAGCACCAGGUAGGGGGAUGGGCUAAAGUACAGAGGGUAGAAUUCAGGCCAUUUAAACCCCCCGCUCCAGCUCAUGUAAGCCUGGAGGAACAGGCCAAAGUCAAUGCACCACUUGCAUCCCAUCAUCGUAAAUGGGCCUUUCGCUGGCUCUUUGCACAGGCUCAGGUUCACUCUAAAUAACAAGAGGAUUAGCCCACCCUAGUCCAUAAGGGGUGUGGUCUGCUAGAGGGCGUGGCCUGUCCUCCACCUUGUCUAGUUACCGUCAGUAGACUGUGCCAGUCGGGAAAGGGGAUGUGGGGGAAGAGUUACAAAUAGAUUUUAAAGGAGCAGCAAAACGAGCCUGGUACUGCAUUCCCAGCCCACCCACUCUGAGCCCUUUCCCCCUGUGCCACCAAGUUGGCUCCUGGACCGUGCGCAAAUCUGGGCCCAUUGUUCAGAAUUUCGCUGAAUGUUUCUCCUAGGGAGGUGUGAAUAUAAGUUUGGAUAACACUUAAAACUGACCCAAACCUCAACCCCACACUUGGACUGAACUAGAAUGAAAACUUUUUGCAAGUUUGAAAAUAUUCAGAUGACUUUUUUUUGGGGCAACAUAUUUGCUGAUGCCUCUGUAUUUCCCCAGGGUGACCAGGACCAUAAGUAAAUGUGCCCAAAAACUUUCAACGAGGCUUUCAACAUAAGUAUUUUCAGCCCAACCCAAAAUAGUGGCUGCUGGAAAUCUGACUGAAGGGCUGCGUUUCUUGAGAUUUCCAAGAGACUCGAAUAAUUGAGAGAAGCAUCCCCACUUUUGGGUGCUCUUCCGAACUGAUGUGAGAUUCAGUCAUCAUGCCUGGUUUCACUGGGCCAGAUUCACCGCUAAUGUAACUCCGCUGGAGUUGCCACAGGGAUGGAUGUAUUCCGGGGUAUGAAAAUUCUGGCAGUGAUGUAUAGUGUCCACCUGUGGGCUGAGACCUGGGAUAACAUCUAAUGAUCAUGGUGGGGAUACAUGGAUGCUUAUUGACCAGACCUGGUGUAUCUGCUUAGGCUGUGUAUCUCUGGCCAUGUAUCUCUGGGGAGAUUUUCAAAAUCGUACAUAGGAACUGGGCCCCCCACGCCCACUGAUUUUCAAUGGGAGCCGUGUGUCUAACUGCUCUGUAUGCCUUUGGAAAUCUCUGCCUUACACACGCCUUUUCUGUUGCUGCAUUUGGCUCCAGAUCCCCAGGCAGCCUGCAGGGGCAGUGUUAGAAAACCCAUGUGCUGAUCACCACAGACCCAACUACUAGAUAAAGAUACAUCACUUACAACCUGGGCCUUUCAGCUUCAAACCUACAAGUCUCUGCCCAUAGGUCCCUUAUGCCCUCCGUGGGCCCAGUCACUAGGGUGAGACAUCCCACUCACAUUCUGAUCAGUCUGUCACAGCUCCUUGCUUUCUACCUUUAGUGGAACAGGCCAGGGUAGCAGAAAGAAGAUAACAGUACAUCUCUGGUAUUCAAACCUGGCACCAGCAGCCCUUCAUUUGCAUGAGGUGGGAUAUUAACCCUUUUCAAAGCAGCCCACUGCAGCAAAGGAAGGGAUUAAUAAGCAAACUCUAGAAAAUUACAUUGAAUUCAUUAUGCUUAUUAAACCCAGAAUAAACUGACCUGCUGGGGAGGGGCAGGGGAAAUCUACAGUAAUGUGUUAGUUUGUGGGUGUUUGGAUAGAUGAGUCGUUAACCAAGGACGAGCAUUAAAUCAAGAGAGCAGCAGGGGUGAUGUCACUGGAGAAAUGUCCACUCAGCUCUCUGAGCAUAACUUCUGUUGACCCAUUCACUUUGUCUGGAUUACAAGACAAAGUCAUUAGGGUUAAAUUUCAUCCAAAUAUAGUAGCCCCAUUAACACAGCUGUGAUUUCAAUUUGUUGAGUGAUGGCUUUGGCUGUGUUUAUUGCAAGCUCUUAAAAAUUCUUGGAAGACAAGUACAUAUAGAAAUUAAAUGCAUUUUGCUACAGGAUUCAUUGAACGUGUCUAAAUACACGUAGUAUAACUACAGGGUUCAAUUCUGAUCUUAGAUACACAGGUACUGAUUGUCUCCUGUGCUGCAAAAUGCUGCGGUUUUGCCUGGGUGCGCAAGUCCCGUUGCGCAAGUUAUUUACAGGAAGACUGGACAAAGCACUGAACAAUUUACUCCAGGGAAGAACUCUGCCUGGCACCAGACGGACUGCAAAAGGACCCAAUAGAUGAUAAGCUUUUUUAGUUCUGUGUUUGUACAGUGCCAAACACAAUGAGGCGCUGGACCAUGAUUCGGGCUCCUAGGCACUAUCGAAAUACACCUAAUAUAUAACAGUAAUAAUUUCCAUUUCUAACUUCUGUAAUGAUUCUCGAAGGAGACGUCUACACUGCAAAGGGUUUGCAGGUAUAACUAUACCAGCCAAACCGAUUAGUGGAGAUGCAGAGUUAGUUUGCCAAUAUGCCUAUCAGUUCCGCAAACCAAAUAAGUUAUGCCAGCAAAAGCACUUUGCCCUGUAUAACUGCAUCUACACAAGGGCUUUUUGCCAGUGUACAAAUGUCAGAAAAAUCACACUUGAACCCAGCAUUAUUAUACCAGCAAAUGUUUCUUGUGUAGAUCUGCCCUAAGCAAUUUUGAAAAAUAUGCGACAAUACGCAUACGUUUGCAAUUGGACUCUGAGAGCAACAGAACAGGACCUACCUGGCUGGAGAAUGACCCACUUCACUGUGGGUUUCUGGCAGUUAGAUAUAGUGUUCCUAUAUCUUCCUGUUUACACGUGUUUAACUCCCCUGAGUUCAAUGGAGUGACUCCUGACAUAGUGUCAAUCAGAUCAGAAUCAGGCCCAGGAAAGCCAGGAGCUCAGUGCAUUUCUUUGCAUAUCAAUACCCACAAUGCCCCUCAGGUUCCCAGCACUGCAGUGUCUGACUUCAGAUCUGGAAAAGGACCCUUUUUGUUUGUACUGGACCUCCGGGAUCGGUACAAGAUCAGAAAUGAGGAUAUUCAAAGCCAAACUCAACAACCACCUCCAUCAGCACUUGGUCAGUUUCGCCUGCUUUCUUGGUAUGGACAUGUUAUUAGAAUGGAAGACCAAUGAAUUCCAAAGCGUGUGUACCAAGGAAUGCUGCGACAUGGCCAGCGAUCAUGUGGGCAUCAAAAGCUUUGGUGGCCCAACAAGAUUACCAGUGAUGGACAUAAACUGAAUAUACAGCCAGAGCACCUGAAGCACCUUUCCAGAGUUUGAUCUGGAUGGUGCUCAAACUUGCAAGGAGUCCCUGGGCUUUUGGAUUUGUCACGAUGAUGAAGUGUUUGCACUAUGUUCCUUUCUACAAUACUUCUACUGAAAAUCUCCAGUGGUGAAACACAGGAAGUAGGAUGAGAUGUUGGCCUGUAAAGUGGUGCAACUUCAUUGAAGUCCAGUGGCUAAAAUCAGAUCUGGUGCAGGUGGAUGCAAACGUUAUUGACUUUAUGGGAGCUUGCACUUGCUUUUCCCAGACCAGAAUUUGGACCAAAGUGUAACUGAGGCCAGAUUUGGCUCCGUUAGCUAUCAUAAAUAUUCCAUAUCGGCACAAAAAUGUGCAUAUAAUAAACAAGCUUUCAGCAUAUAAUAAAUGUAUAGAAUAUAUCAAAGGCAUGCUGUAGAUAGCAAUGGAUGAUAUGGA